GGAUGGAUCCGCCGUUUUCCUCUAAUUUCAGACCCCACCCCACCUAAACUCCUUCUUCUUUAGGGACAACCUAAAGAACUAACCUAAAAAAACCCUAAAAAUAGACAAUCAUCCGCAGCACACCAGAAUACAAGACCCCUACCCCUGAACUUCAUCGUUUUCACUUGACCCCAACCCCAUCUCCGCCGGGAACACCUUACACCCGACCAAAACCUUAGAAAGAAUCAGCACCAGCAACGACUCGGCCCAAACUCGCCGGAAGAAGCAGCCAUCGCCCAAAACUUCAUCUUCUUCAGUCGUAUUUUUCACCUGCUAGACACCCAAGAUCAGAGGCCUCUCUCUUUUUGAACACACCAAGAAAUCAGAGAGCAGCAACGGAAACGACCCCUCAUCUUCUUCUUUAAUGGGAUCUCCAGCCAUCUACACACAAAAAAGCUAGAUUUCUUGUUCAGUUCUGUUCGAGAUUCCGUCGAGGUCCGAGAUCUAGUGCGAUAAAGUUUCCGUUUGGAUUUCAUGUACGUCGGUUCGGAUUCAGGCACAUCUGGUCCCGCUACCGAGUGUUGAUCUUUCCAGCUCAGGCGAAUCCAAAGAUUCUCUAGGUAGUUGCCGGCGUUCGCAGCCUAGAGCUUCUUCCCUUAUCUUACUUCUCUUUGCUUUGGAAUUGUAUUGAACUCUGUAGACUUUCUUGUCUUAUUACGGAUUUUUAGAUGCUCAUAACUAGUGACACUCCGGUAUCGGACUGUGUUGGGUUUAUCUUCCACAAUUGUACUGUUAACUGCUUACUUUGGAUAUUUAUCAUGUUUUAGACUUAAA